CCUCUUCUUUUGUCUGUUUUAAUCUAUGCAGCGUAUCGGGCAAGGCGGAUUGAGUGUGAAAGGAGUUUGAAGUUUUUGGCGCAUUUAGAAACGUUCUUGGCCACUGGGCACGCGAGAAAGAGAUGGCAAACUUAUCCGGACAGAACAUUUAGCUUUGCGACGGCGUGACAAUUGGAUCAACACGAUGAAUACUUCAAUGAAGAUAGAGUAGGUCCCGUUUGUGGCAAGGAUAUAACAGGACCGGCCACACAGCUUUUGCUACGAGAUACAAAUAAAAUCGGAUAUUUUGCAACUACUGUGUUCUCACCCUUUCGAAGAGUACUAUGUACAAAAGAGUGGAAGGGUGAUGAACAUCAAAACAAGGUAGAAGAUCUAGGACUGAAGAACAACAAACAUCAAGGCGGUCUCAUGGGCAGUGAAGAUAAAGCUGUCCACAGAUUUUGGUGCAAGUCAAUCAUCUUCUUGUGGUAUAAAUGUUCCCAACUUUGGCCGGUACAAAUGAUCUUUCUCUUGAGAAAAGUUCUUACAUUUCUUUUCUUUCAGAUUUCCCAACAUAAGGCAGUAGUCAAUUAAUGUCCAGCUCUUAUACCUUAAUUUCUUUUGAUCUGAUCUCCUCCACUAUUACCUCCCCAGGAGAGGAGCCUUCCUUUCCAAGAGGCCAUCAUCAAAUUAUAUUUUUUGAUCAGGGGCAGCCAACAAUGCUUUGGAAGCUUUUUAUCACACAAAGGAAGUCCCAAGUAGACAAAAGGAAGAGAGCCUUUCAUGCAGUUUAUCCAUCAAGCAAGCCUUGCUGCUUGCUCCUCCCCCAUAUUUAAGCACAGAAUAGAGCUCUUGUGAAAGUUAAUUCUCAAACCCGAAGCACCUUCAAAAGCUACAAAAAUCGCUUUGGCAGCAAGCAUACUUUCCUUCUUUCCAGCACAGAAAAGCAGGGUGUCAUCUACGAAAUUCAAGCUUUUGAUCCCUCUAAAUUCAUUGAUACUGCCAAUGCCUUCAAUUAAGCCAAGUGCUCCAUCCUACAUGAGCAAUCUGGCUAAAACAUUAAAAUAAAAAGAGAAGGUGAGAGUGGCUCGCCUUGCCUCAAACCUUGCUUGCAUUUGAUCCAAUUCCUUGGACUUCAUUCACAAGAAUAACCACUGAUGCAGAAGUUAGAAGGCCUUGGAUCCAAGAAACCCAUUUACUAGCAAAACCCCUAGCCUUAAGCACUGUAAAAAGGAAAUCCCAAUUAAUCUUAUGAAAAGCUUUUUUGAAAUCCAAAUUGCCCAACACUCCUCUCUAAACCACCCUCCUGCAAAAUGCAAGCAUCUCAUGAGCACUAAGAAAAUUCUCCACAAUGAUUUGGCCUCUUACGAAUGUUGAUUGCGACUCAUCAAUGAGCAGGGGGUCAAAGAUGGCAAGCUGCCUCGCGACGAUCUUCGAAAUAAUUUUGUUGAGGCUACUAAGAAGAUUGAUGGGUCUCAAAUCACCAGCUGUUAGUAGACCAUCCUUUUUUGGGAUAAGAGAAAUAAAAGCAAAAUUCAACCUAUCAAGCUCAAGGGUGCCUCUGUGAGAAUCUUCCAACAGCACCAGUAGGUCCUCCUUUAAGAGGUCCCAAUACCUUUGGAAGAAAGAAAAUGUGAACACAUCAAGACCCAAAGCCUUAAGGCCAUUGGCUGUGAGAAUCGUCCAACAGCACCAGUAGGUCCUCCUUUAAGAGGUCUCAAUACCUUUGGAAGAAAGAAAAUGUGAACUCAUCAAGACCCAAAGCCUUAAGGCCAUUGGCUGUGAGAAUCUUCCAACAGCACCAGUAGGUCCUCUUUUAAGAGGUCCCAAUACCUUUGGAAGAAAGAAAAUGUGAACCCAUCAAGACCCAAAGCCUUAAGGCCAUUGAAGGAGAAUACAACACAACUCUAAUUUCUUCCAAAAAUAAAUUUAGCUUCCAAAUGUUCUAGGUUCACCGAAGCAUUGCCAUAAAGUCUAUUUCAAUCAAUAGAGAACUACAGGAUAUAAGAGGUGCCAAAGAGGCUCUUAAAGAAAGCAUGAAGAUUAAGGGCGAUAACUUCUAGUCAACAAGCUCAAUACCAUCAUCGAUAAGGGGCACCAACUGGUUUCUCCUCUUCCUUUCAGAAGCCACUUUAUGGAAGAAAGCUGUGUUUCUAUCUCCUUCCUUGAGCCAAGUACCCUUAGACCUAUGCUUCCGGUACAAAUCCUCCUCCUGGUACAACUCCUCCAAAGAUUGCUUUAAGACAUGCCGAUGGUCAAUUCAUCUGGAGAGAGAUCAACUCUUUUCUCUUUUUUGUCAAGAAGGUCCAUGUCAUGCAACAACUUCUCUUUUAAUUCUCUACUCGAAAUUCUCUUGGAAGCAGACCAUGACUCGAGUGCUCCUCUGAGCCUUCUUAGGUUAGCAACCCAUCCCUCUGCAGAAUUACGACAAUCUCUAAUGGGUGGCCAAUUGGCUUUUACAACAUCUAGAUCAGGUUCUUUUAGCCACCACGUAUCAAAUCUAAAGAUUUUCGAUCCCUUGAAAUUAACAUUACAAUCAAGAGAGAUCAACACAUGGUCAGAAGUGGCAACUCAGCAAAGCUUUUUGAGUAGAGGCUGGAAAAAUAUCCUCCGAUUCCGGAGAGAUAAGAAAACAAUCCAAUCGGGGCAAAGAAGCAAGCUCACUUCCAUCGCUCCAGGUAAAACUCCUUCCUUUCAAAACAAGGUCCACAAAAUUUAGAAAGGAGAUGAAGUCCAUAAAAAAAAGUUGUCCUUCAGACAUUAAAUCAUCACCAAUUAACCAAGGGCCAGGGUUAGAAACUCUUUUAAGUCCAAAAGCUCUUGGAAGAAACGAUCUUUUUGUGAUUUUUCAUUGGGGCCAUACACAGCGAUAAUAAUGAGAUUCAAACUCAAAUCUGGGCAAGACAGAAUAACAGUAAGGGAGAACAUCUUCAAAACACAGGAACACAAAUGUGUCCUCUAUUGAUCCUUGGAUCUCCCAAAGAGCCAAGAAAUUUAGAAGAAGGAGAUGAGACUUGGACUCCUAAAUCAACAAGAUAUCACAACUUGAGGAAGUAAACAAGUCUCUAAUGGCCCUUCUCUUUUCCGCAGCUCCUGAACCCCUACCAUUCCAUGAGACAACUAUCAUGAUGAUUGUCAACAAACAACCAAAGUAAGAAAUAGAUCCAUGGCCAUUGGAAUGAGGCAAUCCCUCUUCUGUUCAUAAGCCAGCCGAACCACCAAGCAUGCACCAUGAGACAUAAAAAUCAUAGUCCAUUUCAAUCCACCACCAAUUAUUCUGACACUCUAUUGAUCAAAGUCAGAACUUAGUGAACUAAAGAGAGAGCACAAAUCAUAAUCUGAAUUUAUGCCACCAAAAUCCAGCCCAAACCAGCAAUCACAAUCCGGCCACGGCCAUAAUCUGAUCAAGCACAGUAUCAUGGUUUCAGUACAAAUCACAAACAAAAACAAAAUUAGAAGAGCCAAAGAAAGUCAUCCGAAUCUACAUCCAUACUUUAUUCCAAACCACAAAGCAUAGACUGAGUUCACUAGGAAACAAGCACCACAAUUCAUUCCAAACCACAUAACCCCAUCUGGACACAGUUUUGGGCAGGGCCACCAAAUGAAAAACGUCCACACCAGCAUGGAAUUAAGGACAAGAAGGAAAUGAAACCCAGCAGCUAACACUACGACACAACUAUGGUAAAAUAGAUUUAAAGCUUAGUAUGAGAUAAUGCAUGAUAUCUAAGAAAUUUAGUAGUUGGAAAAUCUGGAAAUCACAAAACUUUUAUGCAUAACCCCUUAUUAAUAAUAAGCAAGCAUGAGUCAGGUGUGAACAGGUAAAGUUGGUAAAAUCUUGUGAAGAGACCUAGAUUCAUCCUCAACCAAAAAUUUCAAGACAAUUCUAUGUACCACCCCGAACCGUCCAUUUUGGAGCAUACUGUUCCAUUUCGAGGGCAUACCGGCAUGAUUCCGCUUCUCAAUUCGAGACACUAGAGAAGAAAAGAGGGAGAAGGAAAGAGAGGAAGAGAGACAAAGGGAGGAUAGGCAAGGGAGAGGGAGGGGCGGGGGCGGGGGCGGGGGCGGGCCUUUAAGCCCUCUCUCCUCGAGUGCUAUGUUAUGAGGGCGAAGUUUUGAAAUAUAGGCUCCAACCUUUUUUUAAAAAAAAUCUUUUAAAUCAAGUGUCCCUGUUUCAUUUCGAAAUUAAGGACUUUGUUUUUUUUUACAGAGCUAGAUUAGAAGGGGCUCAAAAGCCCUUUCUCUCCCUUUACGCAUCUCUCUCUCCCUUCGUCUCCCUUCCUCUCUCUCUUUUUCUCUUUCCUUCUCCCUCUCCAACUCCUCUUUGUCAUACACCACGAGUCAGUAUGGUACAAUACCGUACCACUGAACAACUGACGUAGAACCAGUUUUGCUGAUCUUGGUUCUUUAAAAAAAGAAAAAUAGAUAUAGGAGGGGUUGAAAGAGAGAGAGAGAGAGAGAGAGAGAGAGAGAGAGAGAGAGAUUGAUCAGAUGCAAAUCUUGCCUCACAUCUGAAUCAAGCAUCCAGUCAAUCACAGAGCAUCAUAUCUUAGGAUGACAAUAAUCUUUGUUGGUGGACAAAAAUAAAAGAAAACAACAACAAAAAAUAAAAAUAAUAAAACUGAUAUAGACCAACACCUUAAAUGUUGAGAACUCUCUCAGGUUGGCAUCAGUCUUGACUGAUCAUCUUGGUCUGAUGAAGGUUUUUCGGACUACACCAGGCAUGCAAUAGUGGCAUACAGCAGUCUUGCCCUACUUAUCCACGUACUGGCAGAAAACUUCCUAAGUCGGUGGGUAUGAUGAUAAGGAUUACAAAUGGAGUUUGGUAGUUACACUUCUUUUCCUGGAUAAGGCUUUAUAGCAGCAAGGGGUGAAAAGGGCUAGAAGUUGCAAGAGGAAGUGAAGAACAAGAACACAAUUUUCCAACAGUUCACCUUGACCAACAUGAGAUUAAGUUGCAAAAAAAAAAAAAGGCUUGUUAUGAGGAUUGUCCCAAGUUUGAUAUUCAGGAACAAUCUGCUUCAAUUUACAGAUUCAGAAAUUGAAAUAAAUGCAAAAACUAGACCACAAGUUGGAAAACAAUUUGAAUAGUUAAAUUAAAACUUA